rnacentral:rRNA from 1 species
AGCAUGGGCCCCCAUAAUGGGACUGAGACACGGCCCAUACUCCUACUGGAGGCAGCAGCGGGGAAUAUUGCGCAAUGGACGGAAGUCAGACGCUGCGAGCGCCGGGUGGGUGACGAAGGCCUUCGGGUUGUAAAGCCCUUUUCAGGGGAGCUAGAAAGGACGGUACCCUUGGAAUAAGCGUCUGCUAACUACAUGCCAGCAGCCGCGGUAAGACGUAUGACGCACGCGUCAUCCGGAUGUACUGGGCGUAAAGCGCCUGUAGGCGGUCAAGUAAGUCGGAUGUGAAAGCCCCGUGCUCAACGCGGGGAAGCCAUUCGAUACUGCGUGACUAGAGAACGGCACAGGGAACCGGAAUCCCUGGUGUAGCGGUAAAAUGCGCAGAGAUCAGAAAGAACACCGAUGGCGAAGGCAGUUUCCUAGGCCGCAUCGCGACGCUGAGAGGCGAAAGCUAGGGGAGCAAACAGGAUUAGAGACCCUGGUAGUCCUAGCUGUAAACGAUGGAUGAUAGGUGUGGGCCGGAAAGGUCCGCGCCGUAGUUAACGCGAUAAGCAUCCCGCCUGGGGAGUACGGCCGCAAGGCUAAAACUCACACGAAUUGACGGGGACCCGCACAAGCAGCGGAGCGUGUGGUUUAAUUCGAUGCUACACGCAGAACGUUACCUGGGCUUGACAUGUAGGUGGUAAUGAAGUGAAAACGGAGCGACCCUUCGGGGAGCCUACACAGGUGAUGCAUGGCUGUCGUCAGCUCGUCCCGUGAGGUGUCGGGUUAAGUCCCGUAACGAGC